AAUUUAUUUCUCUGCAGUUAUUCGAAUUAUAUUUUAACUUGGUAAAAUUAAAAUGCUGCGAUAUUUUUGAAACUAAGUUUCCUAAUGGAUGAACAAAAACGUUAACUCAGGCUUGUCGUUUCAAUGUCUGCUUUUAAAUUAUGUGUGGUCGCAACGUCAUCAUAGGCGGAGGCGGUGAUGGAUGCUGCUGCUUACCUAUCCCCAACCCUUGUGCUUGCUGCUUCAAGUGCUGUGCUCAAAUCAUCUUUAGGCUUAUAUGCUGCUUGCUCAUUGUGGCGGUUGUGAUUGGAGGGUUGUUCUUCCUUGCUGAAGCUGCUCUUUGUUGAACAAAAUUGUAUACUUCUGUGAUAUAGGAUUUAUGGUCGAGGAAUUUGAAUAAAUUCUCAGAAAAGUUGGGGAAAUAUCUACAUAGGUUCGGAUGCUUUGAAUCUCGGUUGCCAACUCAUUUGUUGUGUGCUGCUCUUGGUUAUCACAGUAGUUGUGCUGAUUUUCCUGUUAGCAACUGAUACUAUAUAAUUGAAGCGACAAUGGACAAGGUAACACUUCACACGGGCGACGUGAAAAGGAAAUCGCCGAUCAAAAAUUCUGUUUGUUCGCAAUGCGGGGUCGUCACUGGAAUAUAUUAUCUAGGGGAUGUUUGUGAAAUCGUGCAAAAUGUUGUCAUAACGUUCUACU